rnacentral:rRNA from 1 species
AAACUUUACAAUGCGGGAAACCGUGAUAAGGGAAUCUCGAGUGCCAGCAUAUAAUGUUGGCUGUCCAGAUGCCUAAAAAGCAUCUGUUAGCAAGGGCCGGGCAAGACCGGUGCCAGCCGCCGCGGUAACACCGGCGGCCCGAGUGGUAACCGUUAUUAUUGGGUCUAAAGGGUCUGUAGCCGGCCGGAUAAGUCUCUUGAGAAAUCUGGCAGCUUAACUGUCAGGCUUUCAGGAGAUACUGUCUGGCUCGAGGCCGGGAGAGGUGAGAGGUACUUCAGGGGUAGGGGUGAAAUCUUGUAAUCCUUGAAGGACCACCAGUGGCGAAGGCGUCUCACCAGAACGGACCUGACGGCAAGGGACGAAAGCUAGGGGCACGAACCGG